rnacentral:lncRNA from 1 species
UCGAAGAUAUAAAGGGGAGAAAGUAGUUAUGUGAGAAAAAAAAAAGAAGAUAAAAAUACUUUUUACAACAAACUCAAUACAAUAUAUAAAGAUACAAUAAAAUCACAUGAAAUAAAGACACGAUGAAAAAGCCCAAUAAAAAAAUAGCUACAUGAAGCACCCUUCCCUGCGCCGUGAAGAGUGAAAAUAGGGUUUGUGAAAUAAAAGAGGCAUAGGAUGAGUGGUAGGGUGAGGAUCUCUUCAAUAGUCUUGUUGACCAAGAGACCGUUGAGAUGGACGCGCUAGGGUUGUUGAGAUCGGUCACCCCGAAGACGGUAGAGUCCAGGGAAGCUGACGCAGCGAUGAUGGCGGAGGACGAAGCACUGGAGAAAGUGGAUAUCGCAGUGAUGGUGGCCAUGGUGGAAGCGGUAACUGCGGUAGCAUAGGAGAGUCGACGCGCACGAGUCUCACGCGGGUGAAGGGGUAAGACGGGAAAUCUGUAUGAGCAGUGUAAAAUUUUGUCCAUUUCUCACAAUCUGAGAGUUGAUUUACUGUGGCAUGGGACCCAUCGAAAAUUUUGAAUAUUUUACGCUUAUUUCGCCGCACCCAAACCACCCAAAUGCAUCGAUGUUCGAAACUUUUGUACCCUUCUCUUCUCCUCACAACUUCUCCCAACAUACAUAGGGUUAGAGUUAGGACUUAGGACUAAAACAUAACUCUAAUGGAAUCUUUGGUUGGAUGGAAAGACGAUAGGAAAAAGAGAAGUAAACAAAUUAAAUUUUGAAUCAGAAAAAAAAAUGACAGGAAAAAAGAAAUUAAAUUUUUAUAUUUAUAAAUAUAUAUAUUUUUUUCCAUUUUGUUAGUCAUGUUUUCUUCUUUUUUUUUUCUUUCAUUAUUUUUCCUACCAAACCAACCAUAAGAGAAGGAGAUCUCACGUGAUAAAGUAUAAUUGUUUUUGGUAUAUUAUUUCUGUUAUUUAUAUUAACACAGUCUAAAAUCUAAAUAUUUGAAAAUAAUUAAGCAUGUUAAAUUAAAUUUGUAAUAAUAUUAAUUGUAUAUAUUAACGAAGAAAAUAUAAAAAAAUACUUAAAUAAACAAAAAGAUAAAAAAAAAUAAAAAAAGUUUCUAUUUUAUUUAAUUAUAUAAUUGUUAUUGUUUUCAAAUCUAUUUGAAAUAAGGUAUAUCACCUCUCAUAUCAUUUUUGCUAACUAUCUUUGUGGUUUCAUGCCGUUCAUAUUCUCCAACAUUUCUUCAAGGCAAAGCAAAGAUUGAAUUUUCUACGAAGAAAUUCAUGCUUGCUAAUGUUGUUUAAUUUAAUACUAUUUUUUUUCAUUGCGUCCGAGACUGCAAUUAGGGCGAUUUGACAAGACUAAGAGUUUGGAUUUAGAGGAUCUUGGGGAGUACAUCUUAAAUUGAGAUAUUAGAUUUUUUUUUAAUAGAUUUUAUAGUACCGUGUAAAAUUAAAGAUUUCUUAAGAUUUUUAUUAUUUUUUUAAUGAUAUAUCUUAUUUUAAAAUUUUAGAUAAUUCUUAAUAUGUUUUAUAUUGAUCUUACUUUUAAAUAUUUAAUAAAUAUAAUUGAAUAAUUAAAUUAAAUACUUUCCUUUUUUCUCCUUUCUCUUUUCUUUCACUUGUAAGCUUUCCUUUUUUCUUUCUUAGUUGACUUUUGUUUUAUUUUCUCCUCCCUUUCUCCUCAUCUCAUAGCUUCUUCUUCUUUUACUUUCCUCUUUCUUCUUCUUCCUCUGUGGCGACCCACCCGCUUCUCCUUUUCCUUUCGCCGCGAGCCCCUCUUCUCCCUUUUGGAACUCUGUCACAACCCCCCACCCCCAGCCAGCAUCUCUAUUUUUUGUUUGUUUAUUUUGCUUGCUUCUUCUUCAUCUCCUUCUCAUUGUUUUUUUAUUUGUUCUCCUUCUAUUUUGUUUUUUUGGUUUCUUCUCCUUCUGUUGGUUCCGCGUUUUGCUGUUAGGGAGAGAGAGUAAUCUUUUUUUUUUUUUUAAUAAUGUGUAGAUCUUCAAAGUUCUAGUACAAAAAUCCAUUCUUCAUGCUGUAGAUCUAUCCAAUUCCUUUAUUUGAAGAUCUAUCCGAUUCCUUUAUUUGAAUGACCAAAUCUUGAGCUCAAGAUCUAAAAUCAAAGAUGCUCUUAGGACGACACCCCACACACGAUAAGGAUAUGAUGGAUGGAGGGUUAUGUAUACAACCAGGAGUGUGAAAAAAAAAACAAAAUUGAUCUGAAAUCCAACCGAAUUCCUUUGAAAAAAAAACUAAUUAUUUUGGAAAAAAAAAUUGAAUCGAACCACUUUGUAAAAACGGUUUGGUGAACCUGAGUGUUUUUGAAAGAGAUUAGCUCAAUCCAAUUAUGUUCUUUAGUAUAACUGAUCCAUAUAUGGGAAAAAAUAGAUAACCAAA